AAUGUUUGUUGGAUAAAUAAUUGGGUACAGUCUACAUGAUCUUGUGUAUGACAUCAUUCAUGUCAAUUUUUUUCCCAGUAAAUUUCAUGGGACAAACAGUCUAUACCUCUGUGGCUUCGUAUGAAUCAUCCUGUGAUUUAGAAAACACUCAAGGUAUUACUUUUGUUUAAAUAAAUAACAAAAGAAAGUUGUCCUGGAAUUUUGAACAGUAGAACUAUAAUGUGAAAACAAGUGAAACUCAUUUGGUAAUAAAUUACCACUUGGAGUAGUGGUCCCAGUUACACUGUUCUUGACAUGGCUUCAAAAACAGAGUCAGGGCUGGAUUCUAUUUGAAGAGUAAUUUUUUAAAAAGAAGAUCCCCCCAAGUUGCUGGGAUCAUAUGGUACGAUUUAGUACAACAAAGGGCUUAGACAAGUGAACAUGGCCCCCAGAAGGGGACAGACAAGCUAAGCAGGUGUGGUGUGAGGGUGAGGUCACAGUGGAGUUGGGGUUGUAAUUUCCUGGAAGAAGUGGGUUUUAAUCCACUGGUUCCACUUCUGCUCUUAACCUAAUUGCUGGGCACAACGUCCUGAAACUGACACCUAGCACACCAUCCGUCUGCCAAUUUGGGUUUAGGAUAAGAGUACUAUGGGAGCCUUGAGCCACCAUGUGAGGAAGUCGGACUACCUUGCUGAAGACGGGGCCCGGCCAACCCCCUGCCAUUCCAGCCUUCCUAGCCAAGGCACCAGACAUGGGAGUGUGAAGCUGUCUUGGAUCCUCCAGUCCCAAUCAUGAUCCCUCCUAACAACACUUGGAAAGAGAUGACCUGUCUCUCACAUACCCUUUUCACAUUUCACCAUCGUGAGUAAUUGGUUGUUGUUUUGAGCCAGUACGAUUUGGAACCUUUUGUCACAUGGCAAGGCAUACCUGAAACAAGGGAUAGUACUGAUCUACAUUAGUGUCUGAGAUCUCUUCCUGUGUGGUCUCUUCUUUGGAUCAGGAUGGGCUGGGGACAUUCUUGAGUGCCCAUCUCUCCCCGUUGUUCAUGACAGUCACUGCUAGUUGAUUACAGCUCUCUUUCCCAUUCAGCCCGAUACUGCCUUAAACCUCACCACAGAGCUCUAGACAACCACUGCUAAGCCACUGAAAGAGGUCCUUGCCAUUGUAGAAUUAACCAUCAUGUUCCCAGAGUGUUUGUCAAUGAAAGGAGGAGGUUGGUAUACCCUAGUUAUACAUUAGCACCCCCUAUAAUCAUGGAAUGUAAAAGAUGAUGGAACUUCAGAGAUCAUCUCACCAAUGGCCUGAACCCUGGCUGCAGAUUAAAAUUACCUGGGCUGCUUUAAAAAUUGAACCAAUGCCUGGGCCUCACCCCCAGAGAUUCAGACUCAACUGGGCCUCAGUAUUUUAAAAUACAUAUAUUCUUUAGUGAUGAAGACAUUUGACUUCACAGGUUGAGGCCUGAAGGCCCAGAUCGCAAGUAGCUGAAUCACUUGCUACAGAGACCAGUUUGGUUGAGGGAUUAUU
rnacentral:lncRNA from 1 species